UACGUAGGGGGCAAGCGUUAUCCGGAUUUACUGGGUGUAAAGGGGGCGCAGACGGCAGCGCAAGCCAGGAGUGAAAGCCCGGGGCCCAACCCCGGGACUGCUCUUGGAACUGCGCGGCUGGAGUGCAGGAGGGGCAGGCGGAAUUCCAUGUGUAGCGGUGAAAUGCGUAGAUAUAUGGAGGAACACCGGUGGCGAAAGCGGCUCUCUGGCCUGUAACUGACACUGAGGCUCGAAAGCGUGGGGAGCAAACAGG
rnacentral:rRNA from 1 species